GCGGGCUAAUCUGCCUAUAAAUUGAGGGCUUCAUAGAAGCCUGAAAAUCACCAACUACGAUUCCCCCUCCUUCCUUUAUGCACCAAAAAUCAUAGAGAGUUUAUUUCAGCUGCAAUCUGGACCCCAAGAGUUUAUUCACUCCUGAAUUCAUUAGCACAGCAGCCAACCAAGCACAAAACACACAAGGUCAAGCACAAGAGUUUAAGGCUUAGUCGUGAGUCUCUACUACCAGGUUGAGCUGUGAUGGAUGAUGAAGUGUUGCUGAGUGGAGCUUUUGUCAAUUUGAAAUUAGGCUCAGAAAGGAU